UACGUAGGUGGCAAGCGUUGUCCGGAUUUAUUGGGUUUAAAGGGUGCGUAGGCGGUUCUAUAAGUCAGGGGUGAAAUACGGCAGCUCAACUGUCGAGGUGCCAUUGAUACUGUGGAACUUGAGUACAGACGAGGUAGGCGGAAUUGACGGUGUAGCGGUGAAAUGCUUAGAUAUCGUCAAGAACACCGAUAGCGAAGGCAGCUUACUAGACUGUAACUGACGCUGAGGCACGAAAGUGUGGGGAUCAAACAGG
rnacentral:rRNA from 1 species